rnacentral:tRNA from 1 species
AGCUAAUUAGCUCAAUGAGCAUUUAUUUUGAAGAUAAAAGGAAAGAGUAGACCUCUAUUAGCUU